rnacentral:lncRNA from 1 species
CUUGUUUGAGACAGACAGGUAUUGGAGUGAGAGACUCAGAGAGAAAUAUUAAGGAGAAAGUCUCUAAAACAUGACCACUGCUCUGGAAAGACAUAUUGGGUUUGUAAAGCCCUUCAGUGCAAACCCUUUUCUCAACUAUCAGUGGAUGCACAACGGACAGUGCCUUUCACAUGCCCAUGAAGCUGCUGAAGGAUGUGGAGACACCUGCAGAAGCCAAAGGGGUCACCACCACUUUGGGAAGCAGGAACAAAGAGAGCAGCAGAAAACAGCAGUCUGGUGCAUUGGAGAGGUGGCUGACUCUGCUCAGACACAGACACACAGCUCUCUGUGAAGUAAUCAUCUUUUGCGGCCUGAUUAGGACUUACUCACUGAUGUAAUGGCUCCACAGAAACCAGCUUCCAACAGGGGUAAUAAAGUCCAAAGGACAGCAGCAGUAGAAGGUACUGGUUACAAAGACAUACAAUUACAUAAAUAAUUCAAAAGGUGUCCUUUCCCAUGCAUCCUGUGCUUUCCAGUGCCUUUUAUGCAUCACAUACAUUUUGCUCCUGCUCCUUUUUUUAAGAGAUCACUAUUAACUGACUCUUCCACACAUCCAUUUCAGCCUGAAUUUUACAAAAAUUCAGCAAUAUUGGAAGGUGUGGCUGCCACAGGCAAGGAACACCUGAACGUGUCUGUUUGUUUACAUGCCUCCAGCCAUGAUAGGUAGUAGCAAGGUCUUAGACUCCACAGAGCUCUAGAGAACCACCUGGUCUUUCACACUAGAUACCGUUGAUGAGAAGCUAAUUUCCUAGAGCACCUUUGCAUCUACUCUCAGUUACCUGUUUGAUAAUGGGUCUACUGGGAUGUCUAAGGGAGUCACCCUGGCUUUCAAACCCUGUUGGUCCCAUCCUUCUGAGAACUAUCUCCAAGUUCAUGGUGCAACCACCAGCAUAAAACCCCAAGCCAUGAGGUUUCCCUGUAGAGGUGACCACGCUUCCAGCUUCCCCUGCCCCUUUCCCUUGUUUUCCAUCACUGCAGAAAACUCACUCCUUGAAAAACAAUUACCCAGGGAAUGUUAGUGAUGUAAACUUGUUUAAACCUGAGCACACAGUUAAGUCAGCUUUAUAAUUAAUUGCCUCAUCAUUUCAGUCAUCCUUCAGGAAUGUUGCACUGCUUGUUUGUCAUAAAGUGAAAAAGGGCCAGAUCCCCAGCAAAGAUCCCCCCCAAAGCAAAUGACACAAAGCACACAGAUCUGCAGCAGACCCAGUUCCACACUUGAGUGAAAACAAAGGAGGAGAAAUAUCAUCAGACCCAGUUCCAGUCCCACCAUGUUCCCAGGGCUGCAGUGUCCCACUGGCUGCUUCCCAGGGAAAGGACCCACAUCCCCAAGGCACGGCCACAGCAAACAAAACCAGGGUGCUGCAUUGUGGUGUGAACACCCUCCACCAGUGAUGCAAAGCCCCCCAGGGCUCCCACUCCUCCCUGCCACAGGAAGGACACACAGUAAUAAACCCACUAGCAGUGCAUGGAAGCUAGUGGGAAGAGAGUGGAACUGAAAAACAUGUUACAGGUGGCUUGUCUGGAGACAAGGAAGAAGGACAGGGAGGGACAGUAGCAGUACCCAACAACACCUACUGCCUCACCUACCUGUGGUGAGAAGUGAUGAGGGUGAAGCCAGCUGAAGCUAUAAAACUCCAAUUAUAAUUAUCUUCCUUCCACUCACAUCUAAAUGCACCACAGGUGUGUGUGCACUCAGAAGGUGGUUUUACCCACACACUCUUACUGAAGCUAGUCUCACCUACACAGAAAAGGGGGAACCAGCUUUUCUAAAAGUGACAAGAAAGCGAAGGGAGAAGAAGAAAAACAGUAAAGUGAAGUGAGAAAACUAAGGAGAGAGCAAGCUAAGCUUACAAGAGGAGUGUGUAGUGUGGUGAGGAGAGUACCAAAGCAAGAAGCAUUUAGUGUCUGGAUCUGUUCACGGUCAGUCUGUCCUUUUUACCUCUUAGAAGACUGAUGGCCAUUAUUAAAGAAGAAAGGGCUGAAUGGGAGAUAGUUAUUUCAAAGAAGAGCUGCUGUUAAUAUUUAUGGCUACCUUAAAAUUGCUAUUUACACACCAAUUAAAUAACUAAGUGGAAGAAAACACGAGGGUCUCAAUUAAAUAUGAGCUGAGUGAUGUGGCCAGCACAAACCUCAGCACACCUCCUAAAACAGCCUUCAUCCCCACAUCUGCCAGUGACCAAUGUGGCCUCCAGGUUACAGGUCUGUGGUGAAGAGAAGAUGCCUUUGGAUGGAUUUCUGGACAGGAUUUCCAUCACUGGGGGAAACAACUGUGUUCUGGCCGCCUCUCUUGCAUAGCUUCCAGCCCAUGAAGAGACGUCACUUCCCAGUCCUGCUCCUAUAGCAGCACACAGCUCUUCCAUGAGGAUCUGGGGGAAUUCUAGCACAAGGAUACAGGAAAGGCAAUCAAUGCCUAUGAUAAGAUGCACUCCAGCUAACUGCUGUAAUUUUUCCUCACUGGGUUGCAGAUGACCUAAUAGGCUCUUUUCUCAUCUCUAAUUUCUAUGAAUCUGCAAUCCUAUUAUUUAUAGUAUAUCUUGAGGGUUUCUUCAAGAGUAAAUGAUGUAAUUAUACCCUUCACCGUAGCACUUCAGGAUCUAGUGUAAUAGAACUAAAUAUGCAAUUAUGUGGUUAGUAAAUGUAACAGUACAAAACUCAAAAUCUAUAUCCACGUACUGUAGCUUCAUAAGAAGAAUUAGUUUCCUGUUAUGUACACAGCAGAUGUAAUGUAAUUAUUGCUAACUGCAAAGUAUCACCAGACAUUCAUAUGACACAAAUGAAAAAUGCCACUCCAGCCAAUUCUUCAUUCAAACAUAUGAAAAUGGGAGGAUUCUCACAAUUCUGUCUUAUCAGUGAAGUGUAGGCACAUACAUUUGAUCCUCUACAUAUCAAGUCAAUCCUUCCCAGGCUUACAUACACACAGAACUCACAAAUAAUAUAUAUGCAAGCACAAAGUGAUGGAUUGGAUUCACCUCUGGUGUUAUUCCAGCAACUUCAGCUGAAUUACAGGAUGGUGGAAGAUAAUCCGUUGUGCAACCUGUGUUGAUUACAGUUGAGAGAAAUAAAACCGGG